ACCAUAAUGAUGACUUGUAAGCAACUCAUUGUACUUUAGUACUGGACCAUCUGAGUUUCUAAUUCAGUGAUGAAAGGAUACUGGAUGCAGUCAAGUACUUAUCAAGUCAGUGUGUGAGUCAAGAUGGAAUUGACCCCUUUGAAUUAGUAGGAGAUAUACAUCAGUGUAUUUUAAUUUAGUAAAAUCUUGAUCAGAAUAAUCUGUGAGAUAGAUUUGAAAGGUUGAAAUACAAUGUGGUCGACUAAAUUAGGAUUGA
rnacentral:lncRNA from 1 species